rnacentral:rRNA from 1 species
AUUGAACGCUGGCGGCGUGCCUAACACAUGCAAGUCGAGCGGCAGCGCAGGUAGUUUACUACCUGGCGGCGAGCGGCGGACGGCUGAGUAACGCGUGGGAACAUGCCCCAAAGUGAGGAAUAACUGCCCGAAAGGGUAGCUAAUGCCGCAUAUGGUCUUCGGAUUAAAGGAUUUAUCCGCUUUGGGAGUGGCCUGCGUACGAUUAGAUAGUUGGUGAGGUAAUGGCUCACCAAGUCGACGAUCGUUAACUGGUCUGAGAGGAUGAUCAGUCAGACUGGAACUGAGACACGGUCCAGACUCCUACGGGAGGCAGCAGUGAGGAAUCUUCCACAAUGGGCGAAAGCCUGAUGGAGCAACGCCGCGUGCAGGAUGAAGGCCUUCGGGUCGUAAACUGCUUUUAUGAGUGAAGAAUAUGACUGUAACUCAUGAAUAAGCACCGGCUAACUACGUGCCAGCAGCCGCCGUA